rnacentral:rRNA from 1 species
CGACCUUGAAAUACCACCCUUUAAUGUUUGAUGUUCUAACGUGGACCCGUGAUCCGGGUUGCGGACAGUGUCUGGUGGGUAGUUUGACUGGGGCGGUCUCCUCCUAAAGAGUAACGGAGGAGCACGAAGGUUGGCUAAUCCUGGUCGGACAUCAGGAGGUUAGUGCAAUGGCAUAAGCCAGCUUGACUGCGAGCGUGACGGCGCGAGCAGGUGCGAAAGCAGGUCAUAGUGAUCCGGUGGUUCUGAAUGGAAGGGCCAUCGCUCAACGGAUAAAAGGUACUCCGGGGAUAACAGGCUGAUACCGCCCAAGAGUUCAUAUCGACGGCGGUGUUUGGCACCUCGAUGUCGGCUCAUCACAUCCUGGGGCUGAAGUAGGUCCCAAGGGUAUGGCUGUUCGCCAUUUAAAGUGGUACGCGAGCUGGGUUUAGAACGUCGUGAGACAGUUCGGUCCCUAUCUGCCGUGGGCGCUGGAGAACUGAGGGGGGCUGCUCCUAGUACGAGAGGACCGGAGUGGACGCAUCACUGGUGUUCGGGUUGUCAUGCCAAUGGCACUGCCCGGUAGCUAAAUGCGGAAGAGAUAAGUGCUGAAAGCAUCUAAGCACGAAACUUGCCCCGAGAUGAGUUCUCCCUGACCCUUUAAGGGUCCUGAAGGAACGUUGAAGACGACGACGUUGAUAGGCCGGGUGUGUAAGCGCAGCGAUGCGUUGAGCUAACCGGUACUAAUGAACCGUGAGGCUUAACCUUACAACGCCGAAG